UCCUUAGCCCUCCGUGUUUUGUGCGA
rnacentral:piRNA from 1 species